AACCCUUGUAAGUAUGGAUUUUUCCAGGUUGAGCACUUGCGUGGAAAGAGGACGCUCGCUCAUAGGAGAUAACCAUUGUGCAGUAUAUCUACAGGGCCCGGGCCUCCCUCAGCCAGCAAGUCUAGCUCACUAACUCAGGUUCUUUCCAUUGCCUUUUUUUGGGUACUGGGGAUAGAACUCAGGACGUUGCGUUUUGGAGGCAGGCAUGGUGUCACUCAGCCAAAGCCCCGGCCCUCCACUGACUUUUUGAUUUUCUAUAGAAAACAGAAACAAGCGAGGGACUCUUGGAAUUUGAAAUGAGAAAAUUAUUUGAUAUUUUAUAAAGCUAAGUCUUCUGUGUGUGCGUUUUGUUUUUUUUUUUAAUGGAUCAGACAACAAGAAGUAAGCUAGUAACCACGAGCUUCUUGAUUGAGGAGGGAAAGUUAACCUGGGGGAGAAGGGAAAUGAAGGGACUAUGAUAUUUUAUCCUCUGGAGUCAGAGUUAAUUUGCUUGGGUUAAGAAGUCUGAACCCAGAAAACAUCUUUCUUACUGUCCCUAUAUUUUAGGACCAUAUUCCUAUAAUUUGGAUUCUAGACUCAUUUUGAAUUAUUCAGUUUUUAGUUAUCUCAUGUUUUAGUCACUUUCUUGAUGCAGAGACACAGUACCCAACACGCACAACUUCAAAGAGGAGAGGUUUAUUUUGGUUCAUGUUUUCAGUCCGUCGUUGGCUGGCUCCAAGCCAGGAAGGGUAUGGUGGAAAGCUCUACUUGAGGAAAGCGGCUCAACUCCCACUCGCAGGAAGCAGGCAAGGGAGGAGCUGGGAAGGGAGGAGCUGGGAAGAAAGACCUUCCCUCCAGGCCCCGCCCCAGUGACCGGCCUCUUCCCGCCAGGCCCCACCUCCCGCCAGCACAAGGGGCUGCUGAACUCAACAGUGACUGAAUCCCGUGGGGUCAACACCCUUCUGGUUCUAUCACCUUUCAAAGCCCCGUCUCUGAGCUCUGAAACUUUGGGGAACAUUCUUGAGUUAAGCUGUAACACUUUAGCUUUUAGUAAGGAUUUGGAAAUAACAUCUUAGUAAAGUUAGCAAGAAGAUCCACAGAAAGAGACUUGAGUUCAUGCUUGAGAAAACAGAAAUGGGCAAGCCACAGAAGGGAUCUGGGACCGGGCGGUGACAAGUUGGAUGACGCCAUCCACCUGUGCAGCCGUGGCUCCUUUCUGAAGAGCCUCCAAACCGAACUGUUCUCCAACUUGGAGGAGUGUAUUUCUGUUUUCUUUUUAAUCAGGAAAGCUUAAUGCACAGCUGGCUUACAGUCUUUCGAGGCGCAUUGGAGGCCAAGAAAGCUAUGAAGUGAACAUGUUUUAUGUGGAGAGAAGACGGUGCGGGUGGGAGAAGAUAUUGAUGCUGACACCCAGCAGUAUUCCUCUAGUGAAUAUGCUACUUUGGGCUGGGUCCUUCACAUGGUAGAACAGAAACAACUACUCAGCAGAGGAAAAUGGAAGCUCAGAGGAGUU